rnacentral:rRNA from 1 species
UACGUAGGUGGCAAGCGUUAUCCGGAUUUACUGGGUGUAAAGGGCGUGUAGGCGGGGAAGCAAGUCAGAUGUGAAAUUCCAGGGCUCAACCCUGGAACUGCAUUUGAAACUGUUUUUCUUGAGUGAUGGAGAGGCAGGCGGAAUUCCGUGUGUAGCGGUGAAAUGCGUAGAUAUACGGAGGAACACCAGUGGCGAAGGCGGCCUGCUGGACAUUAACUGACGCUGAGGCGCGAAAGCGUG